rnacentral:misc_RNA from 1 species
GACACCUUUGCAUCUAGCUGUUCAAUCCCGUAGAACCGAUAUAGUGAGGCUUUUGUUAAUUAAGGGAGCUGACAAGACUCUAAAGAACAGGGAUGGUCUAACCCCACUUGACAUAUGCCUCCAUUCUGGUCGAGAUAUAAGGACGUAUGAGCUUAUCAAAUUGUUGAAACAACUUCCCAAGGUUUCAUUAGUUGGCUUGACCUAAAAAUGCAGCUGCUAACCACGAAAUUGGCGGAUUGGUAGUUCCAGCUUUGAGUUUGGACUCUGUGUGAGUUAUUUCUACAACACACUGCCCUUGAGUUGACCCGAGAAGCGGACUCAGAAUUUAUGCUUACACUGGUAGGGAAGGAAAUUUCUCUUUUUUGAUUCUCACAUUGUACUACACUGCACCAUAGUAUGUGUAAAUACAACUGUAUAUUGUUACUUAUACAUUGGAUUACAGUACAUUUUUGGAUUCCAAAUCUCAGUGACAAAAUAAAAAAGAAAAG